ACACCACACCUGCACAUGGAAUAGAUUAGUUGAAAUAAUUUAAACGGGAUCCGACGGAUGCUGAAGCCAUAGUACCUGUUAAGCAACUGAGUUAUCUGGAGAGUUAUUCAGUGAUGUAGGCUUAUAGCUAGCAGAAUUUUACAUUCAAUUCUACGCGCCAAAGGAGGCUGCCACAGUUAAUUUCUUCAGGUAAAAGCCCCAACAACUAGCAUAAUCUGCCAUGGCGUCUGACACUGACACAGUGACUGGCGACAUAUCUUCGGCAGGUUUCGACUACGACGACUGGUCAGAUGUGGUCGAAUUGGCCAGUCAACUCCUGACGACAUUCCGGGUAGGCUUUUCACUCGUCACCAUCAUCUUGGUCGUCGGCCUGGUCGCCAACGGGUUUGUUCUCUAUGCCAUCCUGCGAAGCAAGAAGUUACGGAAUACUGUCUACAACGUGUACAUCGUCAGCCUCUCUGUUUCAAAUUUUAUUUUUCUUCUUGUCUGGGGACUGACCGAUGCAGUCAUUUACGGGAUAUAUCUUCACAAGCAAUUGUUCCACGUCGUGACGGACUCGAAUAUUAGGAAACUGAUCGAAGCAUGUGAAUCGAGUACUAUGGUGAUUAAUUGUUUCAUGAUAACGGCACUGGCAGUGGAUAGAUACGCCAUCGUUGCACAUCCCCAGGCUCUGCAUAACAGGAGAACGGUAAAGAACGCCCUCAUCGGCUGUGGCAUUGUCUGGGCUGUUGGAUUGCUGUCAUCGUGUGCGGUUAUUCCCAUCGACCUGUUCACCACUCUGGAAACAUUGUACUGCAUCAAUAUCAUCUUGUUCAUAUUUACCUUUGCCAUUCCCUUCCUCAUCAUAAUAGUGUGUUUCGGGUUAACCAUCGGGGCUGCUGAAACGAAGCGAAACGCGUCGACUCUGUCCCUAACCAGUCGGCGAAGAAUUGCACGCAAAACACGCUUCUUGGCGCUGAUCGGAUCAGUGUCGCUAUCUUUCUUCAUCAGUUGGGGCUAUUGGCAUGGCUACUACUUAGCGAUAUGGCCACAUGUUCUCAAGGGUGACUUCUAUCACCGUAACGUGGUGCUUCACAUUUCCUUAAACAUGUUAACCGAUGUCCUCGUCCUCUUCAACGCGGCGCUCAAUCCAAUUCUCUACGUUCUCAAUCAACCUCACAUGAAGCGCCAUCUGGCCAGUUUGUUUCCUUGCGGACGUAAAAGUACACAACACGCGGCGGCUGAAAUGAACAAUGGACGAUCUGAUGGAACAACAGAAAGUGUGUCCGUUACGCCAAACGAUGACGGUGUCGCUUUCAAUGUUGCGGAAGAAUCACUGGCGGAAACUGUUCUAAAAUCUACAUCUGGUAUCUAGGAAUGCAAUAUGGCGAACAUAAUUAGGUCCACGCGUCUCCAACAUCUUCAACAGCAACAUCGAAUGACUAAUAUUUUCUUUUCAAACGAUUGGACUGACAGGCCCAGGCAAUUAAGUGGCAAACAUAUAUAUUGGGGGCUUGGGGCGCUUGCCCCCUCCCUCUCAUUUUUUCACGACGAAGAAAAAGAAGAGAUUGUUAUGAAAGAAAAAGAUAAGAGAGAAGGGUGAAAUAUGAUAUUAUUUUCUGAAUAUUAUGUCAUGAUCUAUUGCAAUUUUUUUUUUGUCAUUGAAAUGCCGAAAUUUUGCUCGCUCGCAAGUUUUCAUAGACAUUGAUGAAGGUGGAGGACCUUUUGGAACUUGCCACACAAAAAAAUGCGAUGGUCUCUUUGUAAGAAGCAAUCACCCCUCUUAAAGUACUUUUUAAAAUGUGAAGUCCAUCCCAUAACAACAAUGCGAUAAUUGAUGUAGGGAAGGAGAAGCACUGAAAAUUUCAUCAGUUAGUAAAAACGAAAGUUAUGACAUCGCUAUAUAAGUUUAUUACCCUGGCAUGUAUGCACAUGAGGGAGAUGACGUCAUACCUUUUCUUUUGUAUGUGAUUAUGUAAUAUCAACAAAAUAUUUCAAUUUUACUGUUGAUAAAAAACCCUCUUCAUUGAUUCACAAUUUUAACGGAAAAUCGAUUCAAACUGUACCGUUAAUUUGGGAAAAUUUAGAAUAUUGAUUAGAUUGAAACAAAAAUAUUUGUAACAGUGAGUGUAUAACAUCAAUGGAUCCCGUACUUAAAGGGAUGGUGCGGGCUGAGAGUAUUUGUAGCUUAAUAAAUAGAGUAGAAUUCACUAAGCAAAAUGCCGAAAAUUUCAUCAAAAUCGGAUAACAAAUAACAAAGUUAUUGAAUUUUAAGUUUAAGCAAUAUUUUGUGAAAACAGUUGUCAUGAAUAUUCAUCAGCCCACCUAAUGAAUAUUCAUGACGACUGUUUUCACAAAAUAUUGCUAAACUUUAAACUUCCAUAACUUUAUUAUUUGUUAUCCGAUUUUAUUGAAAUUUUCGGCAUUUUGCUCAGUGAAUUCUACUCUAUGUAUUAAGAUAUAAAUAUUUUCAGCCCGGACCAUCCCUUUAAAUGCCACCAUUCAGUGUUAUGCUUGUUUGAUUACUCUCUAAUUCUACCGAACUGUUUUGUCCGCGUGAAUUUGACCUUUAACUAUUCUGAGGUUCUAAUAAUAAAUCAGAAAGUGAAAGAAUCAUAGUGUAUGAAAGUUGACAAGAAAAUCCACCAAAGGUAUGAUUCAUUUUUUGUGACGUCACACGCGAGCUUAUGUCACGUACUAUAAAUUCUGUAGCUUUUUUUUUCAUAAAUUUUAAAUAGCUUUUACCUUAAUUUGCAUAAAUAUGACUCAUCCCUUAUGUCUACGUGUCUACGAAAACUGAUACAUGAGUAGGUCUCUUUGAUUUCUAAUUUCUUUUUAUUUGUCUUUUUAGAAGUUUACCUGUUGAGAAUUUGUUUUUUCUUUCAUUAAAAAUACGAAAAAAAAACUCUUGUCAAUGCUGAUUUGGAAUGACACUUGGUGUUACUUAUCCUUACUUUUUCUUGUUUCUUGAAAGCUAUAUGUUUCAAUUUUUGUAAGUGAUUUUGGUUAAAUACUUAUCUGAAUUGAGAAAGAUGUAUCUUUUUGUUGGGAUAAAAAUCAAUUAAUUAUUUGGAUUUGAAUAAAAAAAUAUAUACAAUUUGCUCUUUCUGGAUUUUAAUUGCCCCGCCCCCUUUGGGUGACAUCCGGUGGGCCUAUAGGCCUUGAUACACCGUUGUGUAUUCAAGCGGAUUAGGAAACACUUGGCUUCCCCUCUUCUUUUUCUAUUGAAGGAUUCAAUUGCACAUUGCAUUCAUCAAGUUUGAAAGACACCAUUUUGAUAUAAACCACAUUUUUUUAUGGAAUUCAUAGCGGUUUCGGAAACGCAACCUAUAUCAGGCUUUCCAUAUGGGUGUGUCUGUGUGUGUGUGUGCAGUUUUUCGGGGGGGGGGGGGUAUUGAUGCACUGGGUAUAGAUCCAAAUACCAGAUUCAUCACAGGUGGCACUCUACAAAAAUAAUUGUCAAGCCUCCAAAUUAAAGUUAUUAACAUUCAUGGGGAACAAUUUCCCGUUAUGCUUAGGACCAAAGGACUGAAUAUAAAAAUUCCUCAGGGUUUGGGUACCCCCCCCCCCUCCAGGAUCGUCGUCUUGGAGUGUGUCAUGGUAUAUCUUUCAAAUCCAAACUCAAUCAAAAACCUAGCAAGUGACCUGCUUACUUGGUGAUUUCACACACAUCAAUAAAGUUGGCGGAGUACAGCAAGUCUGCAUAAGCCGACUUAACCCAAGGCAAGACAAGACAAGACAAGAUCAAGGUAUGUGUGAUGCCCCCUUCCAAUAUAGCUCAACAUUGUCGCUGGUCAAAAGAUGAUGACCAGCCAAAAUCUAGGCCUACUCAUUCAACGCAGGUCGUUAUUAUAAGGAGGGGGGGGGCAUCGGCCAAAAGCUCCUAUAUGAGAAAAUAUCGUUUAAAUUUGGUCUGCCCACACAAUAUAUCCGUCAAAAACAGUGGCGUAACAGGCGGGGGGGGGGGGGGGCAAGUUGCACCCCAGGCGGAUUUCGAUCACCGGGAAAAUAACCCCCAAAAACGGGAAAAGAGCAAGGGGAGGAAGAAAGAAAGGGAAAGAAAAAAGAGGAAAUGGGGAAAGGAAAGGGAAAGGGAAAAAGUGGG